rnacentral:rRNA from 1 species
UACAGAGGUCUCAAGCGUUGUUCGGAUUCAUUGGGCGUAAAGGGUGUGUAGGUGGCGCGCUAAGUCGGGUGUGAAAUUUCGGAGCUUAACUCCGAAGCUGCAUUCGAUACUGGCGUGCUUGAGGACUGGAGAGGAGACUGGAAUUCCUGGUGUAGCAGUGAAAUGCGUAGAGAUCAGGAGGAAGACCAGUGGCGAAGGCGGGUCUCUGGACAGUACCUGACACUGAGACACGAAGGCCAGGGGAGCAAACGGG